UCAGGAUGAACGCUAGCGGGAGGCUUAACACAUGCAAGUCGUGGGGCAGCACAUGUAGCAAUACAGGGUGGCGACCGGCGCACGGGUGAGUAACGCGUAUGUAACCUACCCUGUACAGGGGGAUAGCCCGGAGAAAUUCGGAUUAAUACCCCAUAAAGAUAUUUAGUGGCAUCAUUAGAUAUUUAAAGUUUCGGCGGUACGGGAUGGGCAUGCGUAACAUUAGCUAGUUGGUAGGGUAACGGCCUACCAAGGCUACGAUGUUUAGGGGUCCUGAGAGGGUGAUCCCCCACACUGGUACUGAGACACGGACCAGACUCCUACGGGAGGCAGCAGUGAGGAAUAUUGGUCAAUGGGCGCAAGCCUGAACCAGCCAUCCCGCGUGCAGGAAGACGGCGCUAUGCGUUGUAAACUGCUUUUCCAGGGGAAGAAAACCCACUACGUGUAGUGGCUUGCCGGUACCUUGGGAAUAAGCAUCGGCUAACUCCGUGCCAGCAGCCGCGGUAAUACGGAGGAUGCGAGCGUUAUCCGGAUUUAUUGGGUUUAAAGGGUGCGUAGGCGGAUUAAUAAGUCAGUGGUGAAAACCUUCAGCUUAACUGGAGAACUGCCAUUGAUACUGUUAGUCUUGAGUACGGUCAAGGUAGGCGGAAUGUGUAAUGUAGCGGUGAAAUGCUUAGAUAUUACACAGAACACCCGAUUGCGAAGGCAGCUUACUGGGCCAUUACUGACGCUGAUGCACCGAAAGCGUGGGGAGCGAACAGGAUUAGAUACCCUGGUAGUCCACGCCGUAAACGAUGAUCACUCGCUGUUGGCGAUACACAGUCAGCGGC
rnacentral:rRNA from 1 species